UUUAAUCUUUUUUUUGUAGCAGCAAAGUGGCAAAAGCAAUAAAUUCAAAUCGCUACUGUGCUUCUCAAAGGCCCAACUGCUGUGCGUUAGGAAGCUGGUCAUAAAUUUUCAGUUGCGCUGACAUGUACUCAGCUGCCGCGUUUGCUCCUUCUGGAAUUUUCAGCGUUUACAACGGGCAGUUUAUCAAUGGUAAACGAGCGGAAUUUGCGUAAAAAAUUUUUGACAGCGAAUAGAGUGCCGCAAGCGUGUAACUAAUUUAAACAAAUUUAUGAAACUCAAACUAGUUUUGAAAGGCGCAUUUUCUACAACACACAAAAUUUCAGUAAAAAUGGAAAGCCAAAAGGGGUAAAAAAAGAAAAUAAAAUGAUAAAAAAAAUUUCGGAAUUCAGGCAUAUCUGUAUAUUGUAAUUCUCCAAUGUUGUAUUGAGUGGCAGCAGUCUGAACUUGUGA